rnacentral:rRNA from 1 species
UCUGGUGGUAAUAGCGAAGAGGUCACACCUGUUCCCAUGCCGAACACAGUAGUUAAGCUCUUCAGCGCCGAUGGUAGUUGGGUUCACCCUGCGAGAGUAGGACGCUGCCAGGC